rfam:Brassica napus, WGS project CCCW01000000 data, contig: 7577
CAAAAAGCAGGGCUCUGUUUUUGUACGUAACAGAGUUCACGUAAAUGUCAGGAACAUCGAAUUGGUCAUCGUGUUUGGGUGAACCUACGUUUUUUUUUUAAUAUCUGAUGGGUUCAGUUCAUGAUGGUACAUUU